GCAGGACUUCAUUUCUUAAGAUAACCAGGAGCGGUCCAAGAAUUUGUCCUCCUAAGAGUCAUCCUGCUUCUCCUUCUGCACAGAGAUGGCAUUUAGCUUUGAAAUUACUUGGACAGGGAUCGAGACUCCUGAAGGGCCUAUAACCCUCACCUCCAAGGCACAGCAAGCACUAUGACUCUUGAAUUCUUUCUGACUUGGAUUUGAAUUGCAGUUGGAGAAGAACUUGUCUCCAAUUCACUAAUCCUUCCAUCCAUCCACUAGCCCGCCCAUCAAGCACCUCACUUGGUUAGAAACAUAGGGAUCUACCUUACGACAAGUCAGACCACUGAUCCAUCUGGACCAGUGCUGUCCACAUUAAUUGGCAGCAGUUCUCCAGGGUUUCAGAUGGGGGACAUUUUCAGCCAUACCUGGAGGUGCUAGCACCUGGGACCUUCUGCAUGCAAAACUCAUACUCUACCACUGAGCCACAGCCCUUCCACAACUUGCCACCGAGUCCCUCUGACUCACCUACUUGUUUCCACCUCCUCCCUCCACAAAUGCAAGUGUCUCCAGCUUUAAUCCUAUGCGACACCCACCUUUCGAUUUGCUCCAGCGAUGGGAGAAAGGCAAGGAGGUCUCCAGAAAUCCAUUCCCAUUUGCUUAUCCUGAGGCUGUUUAAGUUCUGGUGGCACAAGGGAGGAAUUUUCCUCUUGUUGGGGAUCUUUAUGCAUACUUGGUGCUGAUGCUGGCAGAAAUGAGGAGACGAGCAUGAGGGAUGCUGGGAAAUGUGCUUUCCCCAGUGUCCCUAAUAUGUAUCAGGAAUGCUGAAAAAGGUGUGUUUCAAAUGUUCCUGAUUUGCUACUAUGCCUGCAUCAACACCAGGUACUGGGUAGGGGCAAUGGGUGGAGAGAGAGUGCUCAUUCUCCUUAGCCAUAAGAACAUGAUUGGCCACAAGGGAAAUAGAUGAAUGGGAAAUGGUUUUGGAGGUUCAUGUGGGUGAAGUUAGGGGAAUGACUUGAGCUCCCAAUGGAAGAUUGAUGUAGGCAUAUGUAACAUGGAAAAUCCAAAUUCCAGUUUGCAGGGAUCAGUUGCUUGGCUUGUUGAAGUCAGUCUGAGAAAGGCACUGCAUCCCCAUGUGCCAUUCCGGAAACAAUGUGCCAUUUUAAUGAAUGCUGCUCUUAGCAACACAAAUCAGCACCCUUGGACAUGCCUGUAGACCACCAAGCAAGUCUUAGAUUAGUUUUUAAACCUUUCUUCAGCCCUAAAAUGUCUAAUCACACAAAUAUAAUGUAAAGUGAUCGUAUCCACAGCUAUUUGUAAAAAGAUCUCACCAGCCAGGUCCUCUAACUCAUGGUAAACUGACCUGUGUGUGGUGUUGUCAUUCUGAAGUUAUGUUGACUCAGCAUGCCGUUUCAUACAUAGGAGUAACUUGCCUUAGCACAUCUGUGAUUAUAUAUAUAUAGUAGAGCUUUGUCUUCCUUCCCCACCCUUAAGGUUCAUGAAACGUUAUCCCCCCCUAUAAAAACAUAGGCAGAUUUUCUGCUGCUUUUUCGGUGGGGGGUGAGGGAAAGAAAUUCUCUGAACAUUUUGGGGCAUGCUUAGCAACAUAGGACACUGCCUUAUUCUGGGGUUGCUCCGUAAUUACCUGUUUAUGGAAGAUUCAUCUUGAUUUGUUUGCAGGGAGAUUAGACAACACUGGGUAUUUAAUGAGCAGUCAUUCAGAUUUGAUUACAGGGUGAUUAGAUGAGGUUGUAUCAAAGCAAGUGCUAUCGCACACUUUCCAGGGCAUUUCAAUUUUUUUCCCCUUUAUUGGGCAGGCAGAUAUUACCCAUUUGGACUUUGCAGGCAUUCCUGUUCAAUGCUCCAAAAAUCCCUUGAAGCGUUUGACAGGAAAACAUUGGAAAAACACAAAUGGUUUGGGGAUGAAGCCAUCACUCUCCCAAAUCACACAUCAUUCCUGAAAACACAAAAGUGGGUGUUCCUGAUAUAAGGAGAUGGUGCUGCUCACAAAGAAAUAGCAUGCCUCCACUACUACCAAAUCCUAUUUAAGCAUUUUCUUGAUUCUCUCCUAUUUCUGUACAGGGAGAAUGACGAGGAUUAGCAUGGGGAGCUCAUAAAAAGCUGUGUUUAAAUAUGCAAUCUCUAACAUCCAGGUCACACAUAUAUACCCACACACUUAUACUGACUGUAUAUACGAAAAUGUUUGGUAUGCACUUAACUUUGCUUUAAAUUUCUAAAGUUCAACAUUCUAGUGUAGCAAUUUGUGUCAAGUGCACUGUGAUUUCAAGAAAGCACAGUAAGGUCACAGGUCUUGUUAAUUCUUGCACUAAAAAUGUGUUUACGUAUAUUAGCAAAUGUAUGUUUCCUUUAUUGCUCCCCUCCUUAAUUUAUAGCUGAUGGUAUUAAAUAGUAUGUUGGGUUUUUUUAAGCGGCCAAUGGCCCUACAUUUUUAAGCAACAGGGUUUUUAAAGGAAAUGAAACCGUAACAUGUCCAUUCCAAUGUAAUAUGUUUACCGAUAUUUUAAAACUGAAUGUCAUAUUGCUUUUUCAUAUUUCAUUAGAAAUGUCAGGUAUGUGCCUGAAAUGUGUACGGAGUAGCUAGAUGAUAACUGUAAUCAUAUAUUAGCCAUUUCUAUAUACACAGUAUGAAUACAUAUUUAUUUCUUUUCAUUUUUGUACUUGAUUCUUUUUUUAAGUAAACUGUAAUUAAAUGUACUUUGAUACUUCUGAAGUAAUAAGAUGUUGUUUGAAAAUCAGCUUUGUUUCCUUUCGUGCAUUGACAAUAUUUUACAAUAACUUAGUGCUUAUUUAUUUGUGCGCCAGUGUAAUUAUAAUAAAAGCAAUAGUUUAAAUAUUCAGCCUUUUAUCUCCAAUUAAUUAUGCCAGGAUUCAAGCUGGUUUGUCUGGAAGGAGCAAAAUAAGAGGAUAAAUAAAACCUUGAGCCUUUUACACAUAUUCAGAUGCAAUAUUUAUUUUUGUGGUUCAACAAUCCCAUUUUCCCAGGGAACUCUGGAAAUUGUAGCUGUUUGAGGGGAAUAGGGUUCUCCUAACCCCAUUUCUCCUAAUGCUACUCUCAGUACUCUUAACAAACUACAGUGUAUACAGGCUGAAGUGACAGCACUGGAUCCAUGGUUACCUCCAGGCUACAAACCUGUUCUCUCAGGGGAAGAGCAACUUCAUCUAGAACAGUUUGAUCACCCAGUUCUCAACCCCAUGAACUACAUACAAACAAUGUCUCCGUCUUGUUAGGAUUUAGCUCUAGUUUAUUGGUCCUCAUCCAACCCAUAACUGCAUGCAGGCACCAGUCAAGCACCUAGACAGCUCCAUCUGGUUUAGUUAGUAUAGAGAAGUAGAGUGGGAUGUCUUCUACAUGUUGAUGACACCAUGCCCCAGAAGACCACCCCCAAAAGAUUCAUAUCAAUAUUAAGUAUCUGGAGGGCAUCAGGUUGAGGAAGGGUGGUGUUUAAAGAGACUGUAUUUGUUCUGUUCCCCAAGAGUUUUGUCUUCUGCAGCACAGCACACACUUAAUGGUUUAAAAUGUAAGUAUUCCACAAGGUGAAGAUUUGUUUGAGGCCCAAAUCUGUCUGGGGAAAACAAUAACAUACACUUGCCAAGACCAGAGGACUGAAGACCUACAUGGGCAACAGGCAGACUGACACUUGUGCCCAUUGAGAGAGCAAAUACUGUCCCUUCUAAUGGCAACUGACUUCAGUGAUGUUCAUGGAGAAUUGCAUCUCUCCCCAGUACUUUCUUGUCAGAAGUGCUUUGCCAGAUUCCCUGCUGGUGGGUUGCUUUUGCUUACAGGAAUGUGGGGCGGUUGAGAUAGUAAGUCGUUUAACUUCAUGCAAACAUACCAUCUGAUCACUAGGCACUUAGAAAAUGCUGUGUAAGACAUAUAGUUGGCAUUUGAGAAGCACAGAGCUCACAAAGUCCUUUGCGUGGAGCUUCCUGAAUGCUCAGCAAGCAGCUGAUUUCAGCUUAAUUUACUACUGUUAUUACUAUAACUUGCUCUCCAGGGCAAGGUGGUUUGAGCAUAUAACACCAAUCCUGGCCCGACUGGACCAGCUGCCAAUUAGUUUCCAGGUCCAAUUCAAAGCGCUGGUUUUAACCUCACAGCUUUAUACCACAACACCUCAAGGGCCACCUCUCUCCAUAUGAACUGACUCGGAACCAGCGAUCACCAUCUGAAGCUGUUCUUCAUGUGCAUCCUCUAUGAAAGUUCUAGAUGGUGGCAACACGAGAACAGGCCUUUUCUACAGUGGCUCCCUGUUUGUGGAAUGCUCUCCCCAGAGAGGCUGACCUGGCAACAUAGGUAAUUAUAUCUCUUUAGGUGCCAGGAAAAACCUUUCCACUAUAACCAGGCAUUUUGCCUUUAACUAUCUGUUGCCUUUUAAAAGUAACCAGGAUGUUUUUAAAUGUAUUUCUUUUUUCCACUUGGUUUUAAUGUAUCUAUGUGUAGUUUUCAGUCUGCCUGUUCAUUUUGUUCUGAGUCACUUUGGGCUGCCACAGGAAAUAUAAAGUGAC